AUUGAACGCUGGCGGCAGGCCUAACACAUGCAAGUCGGACGGUAGCACAGAGGAGCUUGCUCCUCGGGUGACGAGUGGCGGACGGGUGAGUAAUGUCUGGGGAUCUGCCCGAUAGAGGGGGAUAACCACUGGAAACGGUGGCUAAUACCGCAUAACGUCGCAAGACCAAAGAGGGGGACCUUCGGGCCUCUCACUAUCGGAUGAACCCAGAUGGGAUUAGCUAGUAGGCGGGGUAACGGCCCACCUAGGCGACGAUACCUAGCUGGUCUGAGGAUGACCAGCCACACUCGAACUGAGACACGGUCCAGACUCCUACGGGAGGCAGCAGUGGGGAAUAUUGCACAAUGGGCGCACGCCUGCUGCAGCCAUGCCGCGUGUAUGAAGAAGGCCUUCGGGUUGUAAAGUACUUUCAGCGGGGAGGAAGGCGAUGUGGUUAAUAACCGCAUUGAUUGACGUUACCCGCAGAAGAAGCACCGGCUAACUCCGUGCCAGCCGCCGCCGUAA
rnacentral:rRNA from 1 species